UACGGAGGGUGCGAGCGUUAAUCGGAAUUACUGGGCGUAAAGCGUGCGCAGGCGGCCCGUUAAGACAGGUGUGAAAUCCCUGGGCUCAACCUAGGAAUUGCGCUUGUGACUGGCGGGCUCGAGUACGGUAGAGGGGGGUGGAAUUCCUGGUGUAGCAGUGAAAUGCGUAGAGAUCAGGAGGAACACCGAUGGCGAAGGCAGCGCCCUGGGCCUGUACUGACGCUCAUGCACGAAAGCGUGGGGAGCAAACAGG
rnacentral:rRNA from 1 species